rnacentral:rRNA from 1 species
AACGCUUGUAGUUAGCUUAACACAUGCAAGUUAAACAUUUUUAUUAUUAAAAUUUAGCGAACGGGUGAGUAAUGCACAGAAAUUUACCUUAAUUUACUAAAUUUAGAUAAGUCUGUGUAAGAUUAAGUAGUUGGUGAAUUAAGCUUACCAAGCUUAUAAUCUUUAGCUGGUCUUUGAGGAUGAACAGCCACACUGGAAUUGAGAUAUGGUCCAGACUUUUUUAUAGGGGCAGCAGUGAGGAAUAUUGGGCACUAGGCGUAAGCUUGACCCAGCUAAACUACGUGUGUGAUUUAAGGUAAUUAACUGUAAAGCACUUUGUGUAAGUAGAAAUUAUGAUUUAACUUAUAAAAAAGCCCUGGCUAAUUUCGUGCCAGCAGCCGCGGUAAG